rnacentral:rRNA from 1 species
AACGAACGCUGGCGGCGUGGAUAAGACAUGCAAGUCGAGCGGGAUUUCUUUUGGUAGCAAUACCGAAGGAAGUCUAGCGGCGAACGGGUGCUUAACACGUGGGCAACCUGCCAAGAAGUGGGGGAUAGCUCGCCGAAAGGCGAAUUAAUACCGCAUGUGAUUAGAGAGGACAUCCUUUCGAAAUUAAAGUCGGGGCAACCUGACGCUUUUUGUGGGGCCCGCGGCCUAUCAGCUAGUUGGUGAGGUAACGGCCCACCAAGGCUUUGACGGGUAGCUGGUCGGAGAGGACGACCAGCCACACUGGGACUGAGGCACGGCCCAGACACCUACGGGUGGCAGCAGUCGAGAAUUUUUGACAGUGGGGGAAACCCUGAUCGAGCGACGCCGCGUGGAGGAUGAAGGUCUUCGGAUUGUAAACUCCUGUCAUUGGGGAACAAGGUGCAUACGUUAACUGCGUGUGCAUUGAUAGUACCCGAAGAGGAAGAGACGGCUAACUCUGUGCCAGCAGCCGCAGUAAAAC